rnacentral:rRNA from 1 species
AGAUUGAACGCUGGCGGCAGGCCUAACACAUGCAAGUCGAGCGGCAGCACGGGUACUUGUACCUGGUGGCGAGCGGCGGACGGGUGAGUAAUGCCUAGGAAUCUGCCUGGUAGUGGGGGAUAACGCUCGGAAACGGACGCUAAUACCGCAUACGUCCUACGGGAGAAAGCGAGGGGACCUUCGGGCCUUGCGCUAUCAGAUGAGCCUAGGUCGGAUUAGCUAGUUGGUGAGGUAAUGGCUCACCAAGGCGACGAUCCGUAACUGGUCUGAGAGGAUGAUCAGUCACACUGGAACUGAGACACGGUCCAGACUCCGUAGGGAGCA